rnacentral:rRNA from 1 species
CCGGCGAGGGGAGUGAAAAAGAACCUGAAACCGUGUACGUACAAGCAGUGGGAGCACCCUUCGGGGUGUGACUGCGUACCUUUUGUAUAAUGGGUCAGCGACUUAUAUUCUGUAGCAAGGUUAACCGUAUAGGGGAGCCGGAGGGAAACCGAGUCUUAACCGGGCGUUAAGUUGCAGGGUAUAGACCCGAAACCCGGUGAUCUAGCCAUGGGCAGGUUGAAGGUUGGGUAACACUAACUGGAGGACCGAACCGACUAAUGUUGAAAAA